CCCACCUGGAAGACUAGUGAUUUUGUUGUUUGGACCUUUGGAGAAACAAGAAGUCACUAGCUUCUGGUGGUGGGGC